UACGUAGGGUGCGAGCGUUAAUCGGAAUUACUGGGCGUAAAGUGUGCGCAGGCGGCAGAGCAAGUCGAGUGUGAAAGCCCCGGGCUUAACUUGGGAAUUGCGCUCGAAACUACUUUGCUGGAGUGUGGCAGAGGAAGGUGGAAUUCCACGUGUAGCGGUGAAAUGCGUAGAUAUCAGGAGGAAUACCGAUGGCGAAGGCAGGUCUCUGGGCUGAUACUGACGCUCAUGCACGAAAGCGUGGGGAGCAAACAGG
rnacentral:rRNA from 1 species